UUACUGUCUUCAGUUGGUGGUUAAAAUGGUUUGAGGAGUUGCAUGUGGGUGUCGGGGUGACCAAGAAUGGGCCGUGGUGGCUUCAUACUGCAUUGGCCUGGGUCAGUGUAUUGCAGAAGUCAUGGGUUCUCAAAACUCAGUCUCAGGUGACCUUGCUCUGUGAUUUUGGCCACAGCCAAGCACCACCGGUCAUGCUGUUUUCUUUAUUGUUCACUUUUCCAAACCUAAGCAUCCCUUGGCCUUCAUCGGAAGCCUCAGUGAGUUUGCUCGUUAGUCUUUAUAUACCUUUCUAUAUGCACGUUAAGGAAUAUGUGAAGGCUAACACUGUCUCCUGGCAUUUGUCUGGUUCCAGAUAAAAUGAUCGUGAGUUUGGGUAGCGUUAUGGCUAAGAACUUAGGGUUAGGUAUUCAUCAGAACUUAUUCGAACCUCACUGCUCACAGUUAGCUGCAGUUUAAUUGUAUCAAGUUAUUCACCUGCUUUCAGCAUCAGUGAAUGGGGGUGAUAAUGCCAACCUUUCCUGCCUCCCUUCCUCUCUCCCCCCCUCCUUUCUUUCCUUCCCUCCUUCCCUUCACCUCCCUCCCUUUCUUCCUUCCUUCCUCGUGGGACUAGGGAUUGAACCCGGGACCUCAGGCAAGUGCUCUACCACUGAGCUACCUCCCCAGCUCUGCCGUCAUAUUUUAAUGUGACUAAAAAUGUUCCAAAGAGUUCUGGGCCCGAGUGCAUGGUGCAAGAUGCCCCAUUAACGUCACCAGGUGUUUCCAAGGGCUGAUCAGGCCUGAGAAAUGAACACGAAUCUAGGAAGCUGUCCUCAGCUGCUCUCUCUCUUGGAAAAUGUCAUUAACCUCUCCAUCCGGCUGCCCCGUGCCCACCCACACCUUCCACGCAGAAACCAACUGGGUUAUUUACAAGGGGCUUGGUGAAUCCCAAACACAUUCCUAUAAUAUCGCCUCCAUUCUCUGUGCGCUUUAUUUCCCCCAAAGCUAUGGAUGUGGUUGGCAAGGUCGGGCUUGGGGUCCUCCAUGAGGAUCCUCCCUCACUCUGGAGAGAGCAGGUACAGAGGCCUGUGGAGGAGGGGAGCUGGGCUGGCCCUGGAUGCAGGGACAAGGGUAUAGACAGGUGGAGAGGCUAUGUCAGGAAAGGAGAGGCCGAGGAAACUCAGAUGUGGUCCUCUUUGGAACAGUCUGCUGGCCUGUCAGUCUCCUCCUUCGACCCUGGAGACACGGUCAAGGGGACUGGGCCUUGCUGGUCUCUGCACACCUGUUGCCUGACACAGUGUCUGCAACCUAGGGGUCACCCACCAGGACAUGACAGCACCUGACCACGCUCACGAGGCUCUCAACCGACUACGUCGACAGAGACACAGCUCUAACCCGCAUAAGGGAAAAAAAAUUGAAGGAGAGCAUUUUAUAGGCUCAUGAAACCAAGAAGUGGAAGGGGAUGUUGGUUUCAGG
rnacentral:lncRNA from 1 species